GCUUUCAAAUACUCAAGUGUCAGAGGGCGCCAGGGAGAGCAAGCGGAGCGAUGGAGAGAAGUAGGUCAAACAGCGAUUUGCAGAGCAUUAUCGAUGCCAUUUCGUCGUCCGAUGUCGUCGAGAGUCGUAUUCAGCUGCUCAAGAAACUGGAGGAUUUGGAUUUAUCUUGUAAAUCAGAGUUGAUUUCAUUAGUCGAAAGCCUUACAAUGUUUUGGGAGGAUUUUACCUGUUUGGAUGUGACGCAAUGCUUGUUGAACAGAACGAUACUACUAGUGGCUGUAAAACGUAUAGAGAAGGACAAAGCCGAUUGUCUAGGACAGUUUCUCACACUCGAAGUUAAGGCAAGUGUCUGGUGUAGAAAGCAUCUAAAGAUGACGCUCAUGUCAAUCCAGGAGUCACAGGAAGAAGAGCAUUCCAACCUGUUUUUUCAGCUUCUUUUGGAUGCAGUGAAAUUUUCUGCUGCCAUUUUUUCAGCUUUGGCAAGAUAUCCUCUUUCGGAAGAUAAGGCGUUGAUGAAUAUGGUUGAGAAUUUCAUAUUGGAACAGCUGAAUUUAAUGAAUGAAUUGGUUUCCGAAAUUCAGAGGAUUCGUGAAUUUGGCCCAGAUAUAUUGAAAGCUGUGCAGAUGGUCAUUGAUGCGAUGAUAAAAUUUUGUGAAGUUCACUCUCAAGCCCUAUAUCGAGGGUUCUCUGGUGAAGACUUUGAUUUAACCAGCAGUGCUGUUAACCAUGUCAUCAACGUGCAUAAGUAUAUAAUUGAGAAAUUAUGCGAACUGGGCACCAUUGCUGCCAAAGGUGGUGGAGGAUUGGUGACAAUUCUCAACGUGUCAUGGAAAGGAGUGUUUACCUUGCUUCAACUUGGGAAUGGGGUGUUAGCAUCAAAGGUGAACAUAGCAGGCAUUAUUCUAAAUCUAGUUUCACUUGUUAUGGAGCCUCUGAAAUGUGCAUCAGCCACUUGGUCUUCUGUAACAAAUGAAGCUGUCUCUGCAAGUGAAGCCAGACGGAUAUUUCUUCCAGUUAAAUUUUUCUUGAUUAAUGCUGUGAAAAUAUCAUGCCUCUAUCCUUGCCAGGCGUAUCUAGUACAUAAGGAGAUUAUUCUUUGUGUUCUUACGAUCUCGACAUAUAAAGUUUCGCUAAGCAAUGAAAAGUUACUGGGAACUGUAGCUGAAGCAAUCACUGAACUUUUGGAGACAACGUGCUUGGAUUUGGUCAAGUGUAUUCUAAAUACCACCGAUCUAAAACAAGACCUGAAACUUGGGAUUAUGGAUUUGUUAUUCACGAGUGAAAGGUGUUCUCAUCCAGAUGGAGAUCCCAGCAAUUGUUUUAGGAUUGAUCCAAUGAAUGAAAUUUUUAACACUAAUUGUGAAGACAUGAAGGAUGCCAAAACCUUAUUGCUUGGUCGCAUUAAUUUUCUACUUAAUCUGUUGAGGCAUUCUUUCGAUCUCAGUGAUGAUACAAAACUACUGAUCACGACAAAACUCGAUGGGCUCUUGGACAUUUUAGUUCAAGAAGAUGUAUAUGCAUCAGUUCUUCUCCUGCAAGUUCCUUUCUUGUAUUUCUCUGGAAAAACUACAGAGCUAAAAUGGCAGCCUCUGUUCUCUUCUCUGGUGCAUGCAUUGAAGACUUUCAUGGUUGCAGUCUCCUCAAGCUGUGCUUGGCUGGAACUGCAAUCCUUCUUACUUGACAAUCUCUGGCAUCCUCAUUUUCUUUGUUGGGACAUUGUUAUGGAACUGUGGUGCUUUAUGCUGCGCUAUGCAGAUGAUGGGCUGGUGAAUGGUGUCAUCUCUAAUUUUUUUUCAGUAAUGAAGUUUUUGGCAUCAUCAGAACUAGUUCUUGUUCACAGUUCUGCAUUGAGAAAAAUGGCUAGGUGUAUAACGAUGCUACUUACAUAUGGUGCACAUUCUAAACUAAAUGAGAUUUGUGAGUCUAUUUUUAUUCAGGACAAAUCUCGGUCAUCGACAGUGAUAUGGGCUGCCUUGAUCUUGGAAGGCUUUCCCCUAAACUUACUCUCUGGGAAGAUUAAAAAUAUUGCUAUUCAGAGUAUGAUUCACGAUUACUUGAAUUUCAUUGGAAGUUUUGACGAGACUUCAAUGUUAGCUCUCUCUUCUAGGGUAAUUGGGCUGCCAGUAUUUUCUGCAUCUACUACAAUCCAAUCCAUCAAGUUAAGCACCUCUGAUAUUGAUGUGAGAACGUUGAAGUUCUUACUUGCUCUUAUCCGUAGCUACAAGCUUUCUGGAGUAGAAAAAGUGAAGGGAUUCUGCAGAAAACUAAUAUCUGAAACAUUGGGGAUCAUCUCGUGUAUGAAACAUCUUUACGCAUGUAAUGAGAUGGAGGAGGUCAUCUUGGAACUGGAAAAGCUUUUUAUCUCAGGACCCACGGCCUCAGAUGCUCUGUUAUAUGAAUGUAAAUCAGGUUUGGUUCCUUUCUUGGCAGGACUUGCACACAUUAAAAUGACAGAAACCGAAGAUAAUGCAAAAAGCUGUGCUGUGUGGGAGUUGUAUCACAUGUUAUUUAAAGAGCGGCAUUGGGCAUUUAUACAUUUGGGGCUAACAGCUUUUGGAUAUUAUGCCGCACGUACUUCUUGUGAUGAGCUGUGGAGGUUUGUGCCACAGAAUGCAGCUCUUUCGUACGAUUUAGAAUCAGGAAAACAUGUAAAUGAAGAAGGGUUUAUGUUAGAGUUCAAAAUAUUUCUUGAGAAGGAAAUGGCUCUCCUCACAGUAACACCGAGCGCAGAGCAGCUAUUACUGCUUAUGAAAGAAGGGCUACUGUUAAAAGAUAAGUUCAAUACGUUACUAAAAUCAAGUGGAAAGGGUAUCGAAUGUAAGAGCAUGGAGAUUGAUGAAGGACCAUCUAGCAGGAAAAGAAAGCUUCCUGAGGGGAUCAGCAAGGGAAUGGAAUUGCUAAAGAAUGGAUUAAAGUUUAUGCGCCAGGGUCUCUCACUGUUGGAGGCAAAUCAUGUCGAUUCCAGAGAACUUCAUAACAAGCUUUUGAGUCACUUUUCUGGCCUUGAAGAUGAAAUAGAUCGUCUAGACAGCCAGGGUGGGGUUUAUUAAGUCAACUUCAAUUCCAAAGAAUGAAUCGAAUGCCAGUUUCCAUUGUGUUCAUCAGUCUUAACAUAAUGAACCAUAUUGAUUCGAGACUCGGUGGUGACGCCGAGAAGUACACUGCCUUAUAGCCUUCUUCGGUGCCAAGGUCUCAGAAAGGUUUUUUGCUACUCGUCUCGGUAAUCAUCUCUCCAAAAGUUGCUAGGUUCGUUCACGAUUGAUGUUGGUUACAAAUCAUUUCUCUUUUAAGAUCACACGAACUUUCUAUGAGAAUUAUUUCUGCAUCGAAACCAUUGAUGGCAUUUCACUGUAUGGGCCAUUUCAGGCCCUAUAAUUAGUAGAGCACUUGUCGACUGUAGCAAAGCUUGAGAGAAAGUAGAAACGAAUUAUAGGAUUUCUUGCACGUGUUGCAUUUCUGUGCAGAAAUUGAGGCGUCAAUCCAGUAUUAAUGGUAAGGCGACUGUGACGGACACCAUUUUGUUUUCUGAGCUUUCAAACCUGAAAAUGUCAUCGGAGAUCUCGAAGAUUUUCAGGAGGUGGUUUCAGUGGACCCAAUCAGUUCAGAUCAACUGUAUGGCAUAGAAUACGAAGUCCGUGUGAUCAAUGGCUUCACAAACAACUCCUCACUGCCUCUGGUGAUAUGGUGCGCAUCCAAAGACAGUGAUAUCGGCGGGCGUGCGCUACAGGAGCACGAUGAUUUCAGUUGGCUCGUCAAGACCAACUUCUGGAUUACUACUACCUCACAAUUCUCAUGCACUGUCAAAUUGGACCGCACAAGGAAGAGUUUCGAUGCAUUUAAGGUACCAAGAGAUAUCUACCGCUGUAGUGCUUUCAGAAAAUGCUCUUGGUUGGUUAUGGAAGAUGGAUUUUAUUUCAGUGACGACGAAGUAAACUGGAAGAAGGAGUUCUCGUGGUAAAUCCAUUCCUCACCAGACCAGCUAAGUUCACUCAACUCUGUUCUACUUCUC